ACGGACAAGUACAUCACAAGCAGCAACAGUGCGAACUUUCCCCACACCACUCUGUCCAUGUGCCUCAGUGCUUAUCUGGAGGGAUCACCUCUAGA
rnacentral:sRNA from 1 species